AUCUAAGGUUUCCAGGGUAAAGCUGAUCUGCCCUGGGUAAGUCGGGACCUAAGGCGAGGUCGAAAGACGUAGCCGAUGGACAACAGGUUGAAAUUCCUGUACUGCGAUAUAUCAGAAAUGUGGGGACACAGAAGGAAAGUGUGAGCCGGGAAAGGAAAGACCGGUGCAAGCACAGGAGGAGAGAUACAGGCAAAUCCGUAUUUCAAUCCAAUGGUGUUACGCGGAGCGAACAAAAGUAGCGAAGCACAUAGACCAUCUGUCGAGAAAAGCCGCUAUUGUGUAUAUCGUACCCGUACCGUAAACCGACACAGGUGGAUGAGGAGAGAAUCCUAAGGCCGGCGGGAGAAGCAUUGUUAAGGAACUCGGCAAAAUGACCCCGUAACUUCGGGAGAAGGGGUGCUCCAGAGAUGGAGCCGCAGAGAACUGGCCCAAGCAACUGUUUAGCAAAAACACAGGUCUAUGCAAAACCGAAAGGUGAGGUAUAUGGGCUGACGCCUGCCCGGUGCUGGAAGGUUAAGAGGAGAGGUUAGCGCAAGCGAAGCUUUGAAUUUAAGCCCCAGUAAACGGCGGCCGUAACUAUAACGGUCCUAAGGUAGCGAAAUUCCUUGUCGGGUAAGUUCCGACCCGCACGAAAGGCGUAAUGAUUUGAGCGCUGUCUCGACAAUGCACCCGGUGAAAUUGAAAUACCAGUGAAGAUGCUGGUUACCUGCGCCAGGACGGAAAGACCCCAUGGAGCUUUACUCUAGCUUGAUACUGGGGUUCGGUAUUGCAUGUACAGGAUAGGUGGGAGACUGAGAAGAUGUGUCGCCAGAUGCAUCAGAGUCGAUGUUGGGAUACCACCCCUGCAGUACUGGGCUUCUAACCUGCAGCCGUGACCCGGCUGGGGGACAAUGUCUGGUGGGGAGUUUGACUGGGGCGGUCGCCUCCGAAAGAGUAUCGGAGGCGCUCAAAGGUUCCCUCAGAAUGGUUGGAAACCAUUCGAAGAGCGCAAAGGCAGAAGGGAGCUUGACUGCGACACCGACGGGUGGAGCAGGUACGAAAGUAGGACUUAGUGAUCCGGUGGUAUUAAGUGGGAAUGCCAUCGCUCAACGGAUAAAAGCUACCCUGGGGAUAACAGGCUUAUCACUCCCAAGAGUUCACAUCGACGGAGUGGUUUGGCACCUCGAUGUCGGCUCAUCGCAUCCUGGGGCUGUAGUAGGUCCCAAGGGUUGGGCUGUUCGCCCAUUAAAGCGGUACGCGAGCUGGGUUCAGAACGUCGUGAGACAGUUCGGUCCCUAUCCGGCG
rnacentral:rRNA from 1 species